CCCCAUGGCCAGUCGAGCGGCAGCGGGAAGUAGCUUGCUACUUUGCCGGCGAGCGGCGGACGGGUGAGUAAUGUCUGGGAAACUGCCCGAUGGAGGGGGAUAACUACUGGAAACGGUGGCUAAUACCGCAUAACGUCUUCGGACCAAAGUGGGGGACCUUCGGGCCUCACACCAUCGGAUGUGCCCAGAUGGGAUUAGCUAGUAGGUGGGGUAACGGCUCACCUAGGCGACGAUCCCUAGCUGGUCUGAGAGGAUGACCAGCCACACUGGAACUGAGACACGGUCCAGACUCCUACGGGAGGCAGCAGUGGGGAAUAUUGCACAAUGGGCGCAAGCCUGAUGCAGCCAUGCCGCGUGUGUGAAGAAGGCCUUCGGGUUGUAAAGCACUUUCAGCGAGGAGGAAGGCAGUCGUGUUAAUAGCACGGUUGAUUGACGUUACUCGCAGAAGAAGCACCGGCUAACUCCGUGCCAGCAGCCGCGGUAAUACGGAGGGUGCAAGCGUUAAUCGGAAUUACUGGGCGUAAAGCGCACGCAGGCGGUUUGUUAAGUCAGAUGUGAAAUCCCCGCGCUUAACGUGGGAACUGCAUUUGAAACUGGCAAGCUAGAGU
rnacentral:rRNA from 1 species